GGGAAUAUUGCACAAUGGGCGCAAGCCUGAUGCAGCCAUGCCGCGUGUAUGAAGAAGGCCUUCGGGUUGUAAACUAUUGUCGUUAGGGAAGAGAAAGGACAGUACCUAAGGAGGAAGCUCCGGCUAACUACGUGCCAGCAGCCGCGGUAAUACGUAGGGAGCGAGCGUUAUCCGGAAUUAUUGGGUGUAAAGGGUGCGUAGACGGGAAAACAAGUUAGUUGUGAAAUCCCUCGGCUUAACUGAGGAACUGCAACUAAAACUAUUUUUCUUGAGUGCAGGAGAGGUAAGUGGAAUUCCUAGUGUAGCGGUGAAAUGCGUAGAUAUUAGGAGGAACACCAGUGGCGAAGGCGACUUACUGGACUGUAACUGACGUUGAGGCACGAAAGUGUGGGGAGCAAACAG
rnacentral:rRNA from 1 species